rnacentral:lncRNA from 1 species
UUGAACUUCGAUCUUAAAAUUAAUUUUUAGAUUAAUUGCAUACAGCUCUCUAUAAAUAUAUCGAAUAGUAGAUAUAUUCGUACAAAGUUCAACAUUUUAUUUUUAUCCUGCAAAAGUUCUCGCAUUUUUAACCCUGCUGGUAAGAUCCAUAAGAAAAAUAUAGUUAAUUAUAGAUAAAAUACUUAAUCUUGGUUAGUGAAAGAGAUAAAUUAACCUUUUUACCUUUCUUAUAUUAUAAUAAUUCUAUUCACUUAUAAAUAAAAAAAUGACCAUUUGAGAUUUUUGGAAAGGCAUAUUUAUAUUAUUCUAACCGUUGAGAUUUUUGAAAGUAUAUAUUUGUGAUGGUAAAAAUAUCAUUUUGCUUAUCUGCUGUCAAAAAAUAAACAGUACUUUAACGGUAACAAAUUAGAUGAGCAAAUAUAAAUAUCACUGAGCUUUUGAAAAAAUAAAAAAAAAAUUAAAUUUUAUAAAAAUAUAUUUAUUAUUCAAUACGUUU